GGAUCGAAGACGAUCAGAUACCGUCGUAGUCCUAACUAUAAACGAUGUCAACCAAGGAUUGGAUGAAAUUCAGAUGUACAAAGAUGAAGAAGCAUUGUUUCUUAAUCUGAGUAUAUCAAUAUUACCUUGUUCAGAACUUAAAGAGAAAUCUUGAGUUUAUGGACUUCAGGGGGAGUAUGGUCACAAGGCUGAAACUUAAAGGAAUUGACGGAAGGGCACACCAGGAGUGGAGCCUGCGGCUUAAUUUGACUCAACACGGGAAAACUUACCAAGACCGAACAGUAGAAGGAAUGACAGAUUAAGAGUUCUUUCAUGAUUUAUUGGGUAGUGGUGCAUGGCCGUUCUUAGUUGGUGGAGUGAUUUGUCAGGUUAAUUCCGGUAACGAACGAGACUGAAACCUAUUAAUUAGUUUUCUGCCUAUAAGACAGAAAUGUUCGCAAGAACAGGUGCGUAAGUACCACUUCUUAAAGGGACACAUUUCAAUUGUCCUAUUUUAAUUGUAGUUAUCUAAUUUCGGUUAGAGCUCUUUUAACGUGGGAAAAAGAAAAAGGAAGCAUUCAGCAAU
rnacentral:rRNA from 1 species